GUGAGGCGUGGCGAGAAUAAGCAGAUUUAUCUACAUUGAGGUACGCGGACUAGCUUAAUUUGCGCCAGGCUCCAACAGUGGCGACCGCAAUGACGACUCCGCUUCACGCAACUUCGCUCAUUUGAAAAACUGAAGCUUAUUGCGGAAGCCACAAACCACCCAAAAAAUUUGGUGCAGUGGGCCAUCUACGAUACUUCUUUCUGCAGAGCAUUCCUGAAAAACGCCAGCAUAGCCAAACAGCGAUUCGAAAGAGCUGCAAGACAGUGGAAUCCCAUAAACCACGCCAGUAGUGCAAGGAGCAUAUCUGUGGACAUGACUGGAGACACGUUUGUUUCCUUUCCCUGGCUGCUGACACAAUGCUCUAUCCACCAAAGUACACACAUUAUGCACUUUAUUACGUGCUGAGAAUGACAUGU
rnacentral:lncRNA from 1 species